rnacentral:rRNA from 1 species
AUUGAACGCUGGCGGCAGGCCUAACACAUGCAAGUCGAGCGGAUGAAGGGAGCUUGCUCCUGGAUUCAGCGGCGGACGGGUGAGUAAUGCCUAGGAAUCUGCCUGGUAGUGGGGGAUAACGUCCGGAAACGGGCGCUAAUACCGCAUACGUCCUGAGGGAGAAAGUGGGGGAUCUUCGGACCUCACGCUAUCAGAUGAGCCUAGGUCGGAUUAGCUAGUUGGUGGGGUAAAGGCCUACCAAGGCGACGAUCCGUAACUGGUCUGAGAGGAUGAUCAGUCACACGGGAACUGAGAAACGGUCCAGACUCCUACGGGAGGCAGCAGUGGGGAAUAUUGGACAAUGGGCGAAAGCCUGAUACAGCCAUGCCGCGUGUGUGAAGAAGGUCUUCGGAUUGGAAAGCACUUUAAGUUGGGAGGAAGGGCAGUAAGUUAAUACCUUGCUGUUUUGACGUUACCAGCAGAAUAAGCACCGGCUAACUUCGUG